GUGUUGCUUCGACAGCACAUAUACCAAAAUUGGAACAAUGCAGAGAUUAGCAUGGCCCUUGCACAAGGAUGACAUACAAAAAACAAUUAUUUUU
rnacentral:snRNA from 1 species